UAGGCUUUGAUCCUGGCUCAGGAUGAACGCUAGCGGCAGGCCUAACACAUGCAAGUCGAGGGGUAGAGGAAGCUUGCUUCCUUGAGACCGGCGCACGGGUGCGUAACGCGUAUGCAAUCUACCUUGUACAGGGGAAUAGCCCAGAGAAAUUUGGAUUAAUGCCCCAUGGUAUAUAGUUUUCGCAUGAUACUAUAUUAAAGAUUUAUCGGUACAAGAUGAGCAUGCGUCCCAUUAGUUAGUUGGUGUGGUAACGGCACACCAAGACGAUGAUGGGUAGGGGUCCUGAGAGGGAGAUCCCCCACACUGGUACUGAGACACGGACCAGACUCCUACGGGAGGCAGCAGUGAGGAAUAUUGGGCAAUGGGCGAGAGCCUGACCCAGCCAUGCCGCGUGCAGGAAGACGGUCCUAUGGAUUGUAACCUGCUUUUAUACGGGAAGAAACACUCCUUCGUGAAGGAGCUUGACGGUACCGUAAGAAUAAGGAUCGGCUAACUCCGUGCCAGCAGCCGCGGUAAUACGGAGGAUCCAAGCGUUAUCCGGAAUCAUUGGGUUUAAAGGGUCCGUAGGCGGGUCUAUAAGUCAGUGGUGAAAUCCGGCAGCUCACCUGUCGACCUGCCAUUGAUACUGUAGGUCUGGAAUUUUUGUGACGUGCCUAAAAUAUGUACUGUACGGUGAAAUGCUAGAUUAUACAUGGAAACCAUUGCAAGGCAGGUAUUCCUGGUCGGCGCGCAGGUACCAUUGGAGCGUCACGCCUGGAUCU
rnacentral:rRNA from 1 species